UUCCGUAGGUGUAACCUGCGG
rnacentral:rRNA from 1 species